rnacentral:lncRNA from 1 species
ACCCUCCGCACGGAGGGGAAAAAGUCCCUCGCGUCCUGGCGGGUUGACUGGCUGCUGGAACGUCCAGGCGUUUAGUAAAAAUCACAUGCUCUGGUUAAAGCGGUUAUUAUUAAUCCCCACUGAGUCCAGAAUCGUCGGCCACCUCGGGGGUAGACCCUCUCUGAAAGCAGCUCGGCGCUCUAAAAAGAUUGGGUGAAACCUAUCUUGCAAGCGUGUCCCACCAUGCUCCGCGGUGGUAACGGCCUUUGGCGGGAAAGGCGCCGCGGGGCGGAGAUAGAUGACGCUGAGCUGUUGCUCCGGAAACCUGGGCAUCUUCUGCACUUCGGUGCCGCCGGCGGGAGUUGCAGGUGAUUUCAUUUAAAAGCCGAAGCGGAGCAGUGUGGCUUCUGCCUCUGGGAACCUGCGGUGGGCUGCAUCUUAGUUAAAGUGUCUAGACGGAUCCUCCAUAUCUAUCUAAAUGAAAACUGUGCCUUGAGUUUUCCUCUUCCUCCUUUCUAAGGAUGAAAAAGGAAGAGUGAUAAAACAGUUUAACUGCAGAGCCGAGAUCCCGGUUCUGUGCUGGUCUAGGGAGAUUAUUUAUUUAUUUGUUUAUUUUGCCAAGAUUAUCUGCAAAAGGAUUCUUGCAUUGGAUACCACAAUUUUGCUUCUUUGUUUUGUAAUAACGGGAAUAGAAGAGCCUUACGUGUGAAAUCAUACGGCCUUGUAGUGUUGUUAAUGAACUCGAAUUAUAAUAAAAGCAAACCAAUCUGG